rnacentral:rRNA from 1 species
AUUGAACGCUGGCGGCAGGCCUAACACAUGCAAGUCGAGCGAGCGGCGGACGGGUGCGUAAUGCCUGGGAAUUGCCCAGUCGAGGGGGCUAACAGUUGGAAACGACUGCUAAUACCGCAUACGAUCGGAUUGCCGAGGUGGGAUUAGCUAGUUGGAGAGGUAAAGGCGCACCAAGCCGACGAUCCCUCGCUGGUCUGAGAGGAUGAUCAGCCACACUGGAACUGAGACACGGUACAGACUCCGACGGGAGGCAGCAGUGGGGAAUAUGGCACAAUGGGUGAAAACCUGAUGCAGCCAUGCCGCGUGUGUGAAGAAGGCCUUCGGGUUGUAAAGCACUUUCAGCGAGGAGGCGUUACUCGCAGAAGAAGCACCGGCUAACUCCGUGCCAGCAGCCGCGGUAAUAC